UCUCUCUAAAUGAAAUGAUUUGCCCACUUUUUUCAGGAGUCAGAUAUGUUUUUCUUUGCAACAAAACAAUGUCAUUGCGAGUACACCUGGACAAAAGUACGUUUCUGAGAAAGGCGUUUAAGGGAACUGCGUGUCUAGAUUUGUUGUGACUCAUCACCAGCAUCUUGACUCUCAUAAUCAGGGAGGUUCUAUGCAGUCUGGGAACCUAUAUGCAGCAAUUCAUAGCAGUUUUUAAAUUUAGGACUUGAUGAAAUUGACAAGCGGCUUUCGGGAUCUGUAAAGAGACACAACUGUUUUACAGUUCGAUUGGAACUGGGGAGGAAUUUAAAAGAAUCACAGUAAGCCGUCUGGUCUUUUCCAGGAGGAUAAUCAACAACAUUGACUGAUUAUGUUUGUAUGGUAAAUGAGAGGAUUCUGGAAAGAUGGCAGAGUAGGAACAACCAUGAAUCUAUAUCCCUACCUAGACAACAAUUGCAUUGGCAGUACCUGUCUGGUGUAAUUAUUUUGGAACUCUGGAGCCUAUUGAAGAUUUGCGACUUUUAGGAGAAGGCUUGAAUGUCUAGCUUGUUGGAUAAAAAGGAAUGAACAGGAGCUCACCAGUCAUCAGAGAAUUGCACCUAACUCUAGGUUAAGAAAGAAUAACCAAGAACAGAACUGACAAAUUAAGUCAGUCAGUGCCACCUGCAGUUGGAACAAUGACAUAAAUGCUGCCACAUUUUUAAUGGGAAAAUCCAAAGGAAACUGUUCAGAAGAAAAUCAAUAAAGCCAUCAAACAUUGGGUACUUGUUAGAUGUAGUUUC